AUGUGUGCUGUAGCCUGCCUUGCUGCUGCCCACCCGAGGCCUUCUUGGUCUUGCUUCAAUUUGGUUUCAACCGGCAAGUUCCUCUUUGCUGAACGUCCACACGACCACAACCGGGACCUUGUUCUACUACGUUUUGGACACGCCGAGUUCCUCGAAGGCCACGGAUGCCUAGUAUGUCUCAAGACCUGGACCGACAAGUACCACGACACCCGGAGCCCUCGGAUCCGUCAAGUUCGACUACCCUCGUGUGUACCACUACCGUCGCCCCGAAGACUUUGGAGUCAUCAAGUACCUCUCCGAACGAACGUGAACAACUACCAUCGCAAGAAUGGGACCGGCAAGUCCGAAGACCCCAAGUACCAUGACACCGAUGACAUGAACAUCUACGGAAUGUGUACGUCUACGCGAUGUGAUGCCAAGUUCGAUGACGACCGUGUACCACUACCGCUCCUCGAACAUGAACGACUACAUCCUCUUCGACUCGUGAACCUAUACUUUCAAUAUGAUCCGCGAGUACCACUACUUCCACUACGAACUCGAACCGCCACAAAAACGCACACUUCAAAGCUUCGGUUCCGUUCCAUAGUUGUGAGGAUUCUUUCGACUCCGUCCGUUUGUCUUCUUCAUGGACUCGUUCAUCUUCCUUGCGGGAUUUCAGGCAAGAUGACCAUACCCCCGAAAUCACUUCUAUCUUUGCUUGCUAGUUGUUCGCUCUAUUGCUAUGCCGUGCUACCUACCACUUGUUAUAUCAUGCCUCCCAUAUCACCAUGUCAAGCCUCUAACCCACCUUUCCUAGCAAACCGUUGUUUGGCUAUGUUACCGCUUUUGCUCAGCCCCUCUUAUAGCGUUGCUAGUUGCAGGUGA
rnacentral:rRNA from 1 species